rnacentral:rRNA from 1 species
CCUACGGGUGGCAGCAGUGGGGAAUUUUGCGCAAUGGGCGAAAGCCUGACGCAGCAACGCCGCGUGCGGGACGAAGGCCUUCGGGUUGUAAACCGCUUUCAGCAGGGAUGAAACUGACAGUACCUGCAGAAGAAGCCCCGGCUAACUACGUGCCAGCAGCCGCGGUAAUACGUAGGGGGCAAGCGUUAUCCGGAUUUAUUGGGCGUAAAGCGCGCGUAGGCGGCUUGUUAAGCGAGAUGUGAAAACCGGGGGCUUAACCCGCGGCCUGCAUCUCGAACUGGCAGGCUUGAGUCUGGUAGAGGAAAGUGGAAUUCCCAGUGUAGCGGUGAAAUGCGCAGAUAUUGGGAGGAACACCAGUGGCGAAGGCGGCUUUCUGGGCCACGACUGACGCUGAGGCGCGAAAGCUAGGGGAGCGAACAGGAUUAGAUACCCGAGUAGUC